rnacentral:rRNA from 1 species
GACGAACGCUGGCGGCGUGCUUAACACAUGCAAGUCGAACGGAAAGGCCCUGCUUUUGUGGGGUGCUCGAGUGGCGAACGGGUGAGUAACACGUGAGUAACCUGCCCUUGACUUUGGGAUAACUUCAGGAAACUGGGGCUAAUACCGGAUAGGAGCUCCUGCUGCAUGGUGGGGGUUGGAAAGUUUCGGCGGUUGGGGAUGGACUCGCGGCUUAUCAGCUUGUUGGUGGGGUAGUGGCUUACCAAGGCUUUGACGGGUAGCCGGCCUGAGAGGGUGACCGGCCACAUUGGGCCUGAGAUACGGCCCAGACUCCUACGGGAGGCAGCAGUGGGGAAUAUUGCACAAUGGGCGGAAGCCUGGUGCAGCAACGCCGCGUGCGGGAUGACGGCCUUCGGGUUGUAAACCGCUUUCGCCUGUGACGAAGCGUGAGUGACGGUAAUGGGUAAAGAAGCACCGGCUAACUACGUG